rnacentral:rRNA from 1 species
CUAGCCGUAAACGAUGGAAACUAGGCGUUGUGAGUAUCGACCCUCACAGUGUCGUAGCUAACGCGUUAAGUAUCCCGCCUGGGGAGUACGCGCGCAAGCGUGAAACUCAAAGGAAUUGACGGGGGCCCGCACAAGCGGUGGAGUAUGUGGUUUAAUUCGAUGCAACGCGAAGAACCUUACCAGGACUUGACAUGUCGCGAAUCUCAGGGAAACUUGAGAGUGCCUUCGGGAGCGCGAACACAGGUGGUGC